AGGGAGAAGAUGACUUCUUUUGUAAAUUAGAUUUGCUUUUUCUUAAUCUAUCUUUUAUGUACUCUUUUUCAUGCAAGAAUAAAAGAAUUUUUUUUUUCAAUAUAUGCUUGUGCUUUUAUUUAAUGUGAAUGAUUAGAUUAUUAAUCUAAACAAUCUAUCUCCUUUGAAGAUGUACUGUGAUUCGAAGGAUAUGAUGCAUGCUCAAGAAAGAAAUAGGUUAUUUUAGGAUUUGAUCUCUUACCGUUUCUUUAUAAAAUCUCUUGGGAUAAUCUAUGCUCAUAAAAGG
rnacentral:lncRNA from 1 species